UAAAAUUGUAAUUGGCAAGUCCAAUUGAAAUCAUUGACAAGUUUCAAAUCUAAUCAGUAAGAAAUGAAUAUAUACAACACAACUCAAAAUCUGAAAAAGAGUACUUUCAAAUCCAAUUGUGGUUUCUAAUGAAUUAAGAAGAAAAAAACAUACCCCUUCAAUCUUCUUUGCUAUCUAUUCUUUAUUUAUGCUUUUCCUCUUCGGUUUUACUCCUAUUUCGUUUUGUUAGCAUCGUUUUAUUUUUUCGUUUUGAACAAUUUUGUUAGCAACUUUGCUAACAAUAAAAUAUUAAACAUAUUAAGUCAAGUAAAUUAAUAAACUAGGAAUUUGAAUUAACAGUCUGACAGAUAUUAUUGGUGCAUUGUUGGUGGUGCGAUAGGAUACGCAACAGGCACAGCAUAAGGAGGAUGAGGAUGAUGGUGGUGGCCACCAGGCGGAAGCAUGACGGGUGUCCCUACUGCCGAAGGCAUGUGGCCGGGGACUGCCGCCACAGGGUGCCCCAUUGGUGCACCGUACAUACCCAUUCCGGGGAUGUGGGUCUGACCGUUACGGUGCUUGACAGGUGGCGCCCCAAUGGAUGGUACAGAUGGCGAGUUGGUAUUGGGGUGUUGUACUCCAGUGAUUGGAGCCUGGUGAGGUGGAACUUCCCCAUUGGCGACGCUCGUGAUGUCAUGGAUACUGGAUCUCCUCCUAUCUCUAUUCACUGAAUUCAGCCGAAUAAAGUACUUUUGGGCAUGGCUGGCCACUUGGGUUGGUGUCCUUGAAAUUACAAAAUUCCUUGAAAUGCUUCUCCAGUCCCCUUUCCCAAACUUAUCGAGACCCAAUAGAAAUAACCUGAAAUAAAUAUGUAAAUCUCAAACUC